rnacentral:rRNA from 1 species
UACGAAGGGUGCAAGCGUUACUCGGAAUUACUGGGCGUAAAGCGUGCGUAGGUGGUUUGUUAAGUCUGAUGUGAAAGCCCUGGGCUCAACCUGGGAACGGCAUUGGAAACUGGCUUACUAGAGUGCGGUAGAGGGGUGUGGGAUUCCCGGUGUAGCAGUGAAAUGCGUAGAUAUCGGGAGGAACAUCUGUGGCGAAGGCGACACCCUGGACCAGCACUGACACUGAGGCACGAAAGCGUGGGGAGCAAACAGG